rnacentral:rRNA from 1 species
UACGGAGGGUGCGAGCGUUAAUCGGAAUUACUGGGCGUAAAGCGCGCGUAGGCGGUUUGUUAAGUCGGAUGUGAAAUCCCCGGGCUCAACCUGGGAAUGGCAUUCGAUACUGGCCGACUAGAGUACGAGAGAGGGAGGUAGAAUUCCACGUGUAGCGGUGAAAUGCGUAGAUAUGUGGAGGAAUACCGGUGGCGAAGGCGGCCUCCUGGCUCGAUACUGACGCUGAGGUGCGAAAGCGUGGGUAGCAAACAGGAUUAGAUACCCUGGUAGUCCACGCCGUAAACGAUGUCUACUAGCCGUUGGGAGACUUGAUUUCUUAGUGGCGCAGCUAACGCACUAAGUAGACCGCCUGGGGAGUACGGCCGCAAGGUUA